rnacentral:lncRNA from 1 species
CUUUCCUGAGCAGGAAAGAGACCAGGUCAAGUAGCAUAUAAUAUCCUUCUUAUUCCCACACAGAUGUCUGAGGCUUCUUUCUCCUUUGGUCAAAUCUGAUUUGUAUUUUUUCUUGGUUAACACCCCCAGAGUGCACUAGGCUGCUUUCUGCCUA